rnacentral:tRNA from 1 species
GAGGGUAUAGCUCAGUGGUAGAGCAAAUGCUUAGCAUGCAGGAGGUCAUGGGUUCAAUCCCUAGUACCUCCA